UACAGAGGGGGCAAGCGUUGUUCGGAAUUACUGGGCGUAAAGGGCGCGUAGGCGGCCUUCUAAGUCGAACGUGAAAUCCCCGGGCUCAACCCGGGAACUGCGUCCGAUACUGGAAGGCUUGAAUCCGGGAGAGGGAUGUGGAAUUCCAGGUGUAGCGGUGAAAUGCGUAGAUAUCUGGAGGAACACUGGUGGCGAAGGCGACAUCCUGGACCGGUAUUGACGCUGAGGCGCGAAAGCCAGGGGAGCAAACGGG
rnacentral:rRNA from 1 species